ACAAAAAGACCUGCGAGGAAAAUGGGCACCAAAUUGGGAAGGACCAUACAUUCUAAAAAAAGAAUUUUCGGGUGGAGCUUUGAUUCUCACUGAGAUGGAUGGGAAUGAGUUACCUAAUCCAGUGAAUUCAAAUGCUGUGAAGAAAUAUUAUGCCAAAAAAAAAGGAUCAAUGUGAAAACCCAAAAAGGGCGUCUUGAUUAACACAAAAGAUUAGGAUGAAAACCCGAAAGGGCAUUCUAAUGAAGCAAACCCGGGCUUAAAGAGCAAGGCGGUUGAACGGUGGGUCAAACAGCAAGACUAUAGUAUUUGAAGCAUUUUUAGUAGCUCGAAAUCUUCUACGCAAGAAGCCAUGCUUAAAAAGAUUCUUGAUUAAGGAACGUGGAAGAGUUCAUGCGUUGAAUAUCUAGAGCAUUUGUAUCCGUUAAAUGCGAUCCCUUUUCUUUUUAUUACACUUUUUACUAUUCUUGGUUAACUUUCUUUGUUUGUCACCUUUGAAAUAAAUAAAUGAAGGUAUCCCUUUUGUACCUACCUGACCAAUUUCAUACAUCUCAUUGUGUGGUUUAUUUAAAUAAUAAAUAGUAACAUGACAUACUCUGAACAAAAGAAAUGUUAAGCAUUACCCGGAUAAGAAUUUGAUAAGUACAAGAGCCUCAAAGCAAGGACAAAGUUCAACCAGGGGCAAAAGAGUGAUAUUUGAGAAACGCAGAUUACCCGUGAAGCUUGAGGACGGGCACAGGGCCUAAAGAGAAAGUCAAAAAGCCAAAGUAAUGAAUGCAGAUUAUCACAAAAAUUGUGACAAAAAAGGACAUAUGACAAACAUGCCUAUGGCGCAUUGCAUAAUCAUGUAGGCAUAAAGGCAUUUUAAGACAAACAUGUGCAUAUCAUGAUAUCAUCAUGCAUGACAUAUGCAGGUACUCCAGUAGAGUAAGAGUAUGUGAUGAUAGCUGUACUGAAUCAAAGGAAAAGACACCUGAGUUCCACCAGAUGACAUGUUUUGGUAUUCUGAUGUUUUUAUUUCUAUUUUCAAAAAUCAACUCAUAUUGCGAGAGGUGAGUUGAGCCUCAAGACACGUUGAGGUAUUUUCAAUUUCUAUCUUUCAAAAAAACAACUCAUAUUGCGAGAGGUGAGUUGAGCCUCGGGACACACUGAGGUAUUUCUUUUCAAUUUCUGCUUUUCAAAAAAUCAACUCAUAUUGCGAGAGGUGAGUUGAGCCUCAGGACACGCUGAGGUAUUUUCAAUUUAUGUUUUUCAAAAAUCAACUCAUAUUGCAAGAGGUGAGUUGAGCUUUGGGUCACAUGUCGAGGUAUUUUCAAAAUCUUUUUUUCAAAUUCUGUUUUCAAAAAUCAACUCAUAUUGCGAGAGGUGAGUUGAGCAUGGGCUCACGAGCUGAGCUAUUUUCAAUUUCUGUUUUUAAUGUCUGUUUUUUUAAAGAGUCAACUCAUAUUGCGAGAAGUGAGUUGAGGUCAGGAUCACAUGCCGAGUAAAGAAUAAAGAUUGGAACUGAUUGAAGACACCAGAUUUUGUCUCCCUGAAGUUGCAAUGGAGCUGAUCGAGGAUAUCAGAUCCUGCCUUUCUAAAGUCGCAGAAGAAAAGACCACAAACCUUAUCCCACUGAAGCGGUAGAAGAGCAGAGUGAAGUUGUAGAUCUUAUCUUUCUGGAGUUACAGUGAAGCAGAUCGAAGCCGUAAAUCUCAUAUCCUUGAAGUUAAGUUGGAGUAGAUUGAAGCUACAAGGCAUAUCUAUGAAGUCGCAGUAGAAUGAUCAAGGCAACAACAUGCGGUGGACUAGAAAGAGACUACCUGGAUAAGAAGAGCACUAAAGAAGUCAACACUUGGCAAGACCGGACAAAAUUGGCCUUUCUUUGUGUCUUUGCUCUAUUCCCGUUACACGACAAUGAGCAAAAAGGGGCAGCUAUUACAGGCCAAUUUUGGCCCACAUUACCAAACCCAAAGCCCAAAAUUUUAGCCCACCUAACCACUACCCAAACCCAAUUUCAAUCUAACUACCCAAGCCCAACUAGCUAAAUUUAGGGUUUCAGAAAGCUAAAACCCUAAAACACCUUACCCAACCGCCCCGGUCAAGUCAUCAAUGCAACUGGCCACCUGCCCCUGCCUCCACCGCCCAUCCCCUGUAAGGAUCAAAAAAAGAGAAAGGAUAGCAUAAAAAAAAGAUGUAAAAUAGGCUUUAAAAGCCCAAGCCAAUUUCAAUGGAAACAUUCGGCAAUUUUUGCAAAAAAAAUAAUACAAACAUUCUAUUUCAAAAGCAAAAAACGAGAAUAGCAAAUUCUAGUGAUACUAAAGUACUGGUAUUACACCAAAUCAGAGGACCAAAGAUACCAAAAAUCGAAAAGCAAAUACCUAAGGUGAUUUUGUUUCUUAUAUUAUUUUAUUUUUAUUUUUUUUGAAUCAAUUGAUUUAUGUAAAUACAUAUAUUAUAAAUACAUAAAAGAUAAUAAAAAAAUAUAAAAAAAUUACCUUUUGGAAUUCGGGCGGUGGCCGACGACGACGGCCGGCGGCGUUUCGGCUACUGGACGGUGACCGGCCCUGUGGCCGAAAAUCCCCCAGCUCCCUCUCCCCUCUCUCUCUCUUUUUUUCUCUUCCACUUUGCUGAAAAUGAUUUUUUUUAAAAAAAUUAGCCUUUUAUAGCCUCCCAAAGCGACGUCAUUUUGGGGGCUACCUUUUAACCCCAAAACGACGUCGUUUUGCCCUGGAUCGGGUCAGGUCGACCCAACCCACUCAGGAUCCGCGUGUUUUUGCUCUUAGGGGCUAAUUACGCGCGCGGUCCUUCCGCUUUUUCUAUGAUUUUCAAUCAGGUUUUUUUAUGUGUUUUAAUUUGGCCCUAUAAUUUGUUGCGCUUUCCAAUUUUGUCCGCAAUGCUACUGCGCAUUUUGGGUGGAGGGGUUUAUUUUGUUUUUAGUCCCUCCACUAUUUGUGCGCCUUGAAAUAGGUCUCCUUCCCUUCUUUUUUUUUCAAUUUCGCCCCAAGCCAUUUAUUUUUAAUUCGAUUCGAUCCUUUUUAAUUACUUUAUUAUUAAAAUUAAUUAUUUUAAUAUUAUUAUUAUUACUAGUACUAUUCAUGUACGUAUAUAUUAUCAUUAUGGUUACUAUUAUUAUUAUUAAUCUUCAUAUUAUUACUAUUAUUUCUUUAUUUUUAUUUUAUUUUAUAUUAUAUCUUUAGUUUUUUAGUAUUAGUUUUAGCUUCAAUUAAUAAUUUUAACAUGCAUAUAUAUUUACUUUUAUGUAACAUUAUUAAUAAUUAUUUUUUAAACAUUAUUAUUAUUUUUUUAAUACAUGCAUAUACAUUAUGUGUAUAUUCUUUUAAUAGAUAUUAUGUAUAUAUUUUAAUAUUAUUAGUUAUAUAUCUUUUAUACUAUUGUAUGUAAAUUUCUAAUACUAUAUUGUAUAUUUCUAACUCCAUUAUUAUUUAUAUAUAUAUGUACGUAUUUAUGUAACGUAUGAAUAGUUUUUUUAUAUAUUAUUAUCAUUUCUAAAUAUAUGUAUAUAUUGUAUAUAUUUUAUAUAUAUUAUAUAUAUUUUUAAUGUUAUUUGUUAUAUAUUUCUUUUACUAUUCCAUGUAUAUAUUUUUAUAUCAUCUCAUGUACAUAUUCUUGAAUACUAUGUUACACAUAUAUAUAUUAAUACCAUAUUAUGUAUAUAUUAUUGUAUCUAUUUUAUCCCUAUUAUAUUUAUUAUUAAUAUUAGUACAUAUAUUUUAUUAUAUGGGUAUAUAUAUACUUUUUAUAUAUAGUAUUAUUUUCAUAUAUCGUUAUAUUUAUUAUUAUACCUACUAUUUUCACUAUUUUCACUUAUUAUUUUAUUUUAAUAUUAUUAUGUGUUAUUUGGUGUACAUACAUCUUAUUAUUAUUAUUAGUAUAUGUUUACUAUAUAUGUAUAUAUCUUUUAUAUAUAUGUAUAUGUUUAUGCAGUAUUAUUAAUAAUUGUUUUGUAACAUUAUUAUUAUUUCUAAUAUGUAUAUAUAUAUAUUUUAAUAACUAUAUUAUGUAUGUAUUUUUAACACUAUUUUGUGUAUAUACUUUUAUUAUUAUUAUGUAUUUAUUUUAAUAUAUAUGUACAUAUUUAUGUAGUAUUAUUAAUAUAUAUAUAUUUUUUAUGUUAUUAGCAUUUCUAAUAUGUAUUGUAUAUGUUCAUUUUAUAUAUAUUAUGUAUAUAUAUUUAGUAUUAUUAUGUAUGCACUUUUCAUUCCUAUUAUUACGUAUAUACUUUAAUAUAUAUAUGGCACUAUUAGUAUUUUUAAUAUUAUGUUUACGUCACUUCACUUAUUAUUAUAUGUUUAUAUAUAUGUUCGUCUCUAUUUCGUGUUUAAUAAUAUUAUUAUCAUGUUUAAUAUCGUAUAUAUCGUCAUUUUUUUAAUAUUAUUGUCAUAUUCAUUAUUUGCUUCGAUGUAUUUCUAACUCUUUUAUUUUUUGUUUCCCGCCCAUUUUAUAUCAUUUUCCUGUUCACUACUUUAAAGAUUUUUUUUCAUGUUUUUACUAAUUUCAAUAAAUAAGGCAAUGAACCGAUUUAACAUUAAGUCAUCGAUUUCAUCGCUAUGUUGGGUGAAAUUCGUCGGCUCGUGUUAAAAAUGGGACACCUUUCUAAAAAAAUUGAAAACUAAAAAUUCUCAUUUUUCAAUCGAAUCACGAUUAAAUGUCAAAUUGAAUUCCUAUUUUUGAAAAUCAAGACAACACCUGUUUAAUAAAGAUACCAAUUUUGGGCAUCGCGAGGGUGCUAAUAUCUUCCUCGCAUGUAACUGACUCCCGAACCCAACUUUACUUUGGUUUUUGAUGUACACCUAAAUUCGGCCUUCUUUUUGUUUAAAAAAUGAAAUUUCUUUUAAAAGAAGAGGAUUUAUUAGGUGUCUGAUCACACCUAGGAAAAGGAUCAGUGGCGACUCUCCUUUUUUAAAAUGUAAAGUCGAUUUUCAAAUUUUCAAUACAUUGACUUAACUAGCGACCAAGAGCAAAUUUUUACAUCGCUACAACCCUAUCUUGAGUUAAAUGUACAAUUUUCAUCGCCAAAUGAAGCAUUUGCGACUUCAACAUCUACUGCUAUUCGAGAGGAACACACGACUCCUACUUGACACUCUAUUAAUGGGAGGCAGAACACGGAAGCGCCCAUGUUUGGUGGCAGUAUGGAAUACACAACUCCUGCACGACGCUCAAUUAGUGGAUGGGACAUACACCUCAUUGCGUCGAUGUUCGGUGCUGGAAAUACGUACUGAGGAAUGACAUCAACUUCUAAUGGUUUGCAAUCCAUACCUGAUUGGGGACGUUAAAUAUCCACAAGAAGGGAUGAUAUACUCCCUACGACGUCCACCGGCUAGGGGACACUGUAUGGCAGAUGACGGUAGGUUGGAUGAUAAGUCUUAUGUGGAUCCACAUCGAGAGUCUAGCCUCGAUAGUACAGAAGUUGUAUUAUUUUCUAAACCAGAGCCUGUUCCAACCGAACCUGAAAAUGGUGAAGGGGGUUUAGAUGAAGAAGAAGAAGAUUCAUGAUUCACGGUGUACUUGCCUCCAGCCCAUAUGCAUAAUGUCAAUCUGUCGGUAGAUGAUGUGUUAGAGUUUCCAGAUUUACCAUACAGAAAGCGUGACCAUACAAGUUCGUCAUUGGAUUCGGGUGAAUUGGAAGUUGGUAAGGAGUUUUCUAGUAAGGAUAGUUUUCUUGGUGCAUCGAAACAACAUAGCAUCAGGAACAGAGUUAACUACAAUGUGGUUAAAUCCAAAUCUGAUAAGUUCGAGGCCAAGUGUGCAAUGCAAGAUAAUACAUGUUCAUGAAAAAUCAUGGCUUCGGUUAGGAAAAAGACAGGCUUGUGGGAGAUAAAAAAGUACAAAGGACCACAUACCUGUCUUGCCAGUACAGUAUCACUAAGUGUUUAGGGUUUUUGAAUAAUAUUAUUCUUACUUAAUGUUGCGUUAUUUAACGUACUUCGUUGACAAGUGUUUCACAAGAUCAUCCCCAUAUGGAUUCAGAUAUGAUAGCUAGCUUAAUACUAUCGAUGGUGAAGGCGGAUCCCAGGACUUUUGUAUCGACUUAAUUGCUAAUAUUCGUAGCCAAUUAAGGUAUACGUCCUCUUACCGUAAGGCUUGGAUAGCUAACUAGAAGGCGUUGGAAAAGAUGCAUAGUAGGUAGGACGCUUCAUAUAAUGAGGUGUGGCAAUGGUGUCAGGUGCUAGAGAGAUACAUCUUAGGUUGUAUAACAGACCUUGAAACGGGCCCUGUAUACUACAACGAUCGCUUACUUCGUGUAUGCCAAGUGUUCAAGCGUCUAUUCUGGAGCUUUAAGCAAUAUCGGGACGUAUUUGUGUACUGCAAGCCAUUGGUACAAAUUGACAGUACCUUUAUGUAUGGUAGAUAUACCCAUCGGCUAUUGUUAGUUGUCAAAACUAUUUUUUUGAAAACGGGGAUCAACUUUACAUUUUUGAAAAGAAAACGAAAAUUGGGAGUCGCCACCAAUCUUUUUUGAUUAGGUGUGAUGGAUCACCUAUGUAACACUCCCUAACCCCGAACCAUCACCGGAACAAAGUAACGAGGCAUUACCAGAUGUAUCAGACAACUUAUAAAUAAUUCACUAAUAAAAUAACAUUCAUAGCAUAAUUUAAAUUACUAAAUCCCUAUAUUGAACUAUUCAAAUCUAAAUCUUAUAUUUAAUUGAAACGAGACUCGUUUGUUUCUUAAUUCUUUCACUUCUCGAGCUAGUAUUUGAACUGGUUCCUCUUCAUAUGAUAAAUCUGGUCUAAUAUCAAUGUUUUUAGUAGAGAUAAUAUGAGAUGGAUCCGAUCGAUACCUUCGUAACAUGGAAACAUGAAAAACAUCAUGAAUUUGUUGUAAUUCCAGAGGUAAAGCUAAUCGGUAAGCAACUGGUCCAACUCUCUCUAUAACUUCAUAUGGUCCGAUAAACCGAGGACUUAACUUUCCUUUUCGGUCAAAUCAUAAUACUUUCUUCCAAGGAGAAACUUUGAGAAACACUUUAUCCCCGACUGAGUAUUCAAUGUCCCGACGUUUCAGAUCAGCAUAAGAUUUUUGUCUGUCAAAAGCUGCUUUUAAUCUCUGUUGAAUCUUCUUGACUGUUUCUUCUGUUUCACGAAUUAAUUCAGUCUUAAGUAUCUUCUAUCACAGAAAGAGUUGAAUUUGAGGCAGUGUCGAUGGAUAGAACUUUUAAAAGAUUAUGAUUGUGUUAUUGAUUACCAUCCAGGUAAAGCUAACGUGGUAGCUGAUGCAUUGAGUAGGAAAGCAGCAAUUGAAUUGCGAGCGAUGUUUGCUCAGCUCAAUAUUAGUGAUGAUGGAAGUUUAUUGGCUGAAUUAAGAAUUAAACCAGUGAUGUUUGAACAAAUCAAGUCAGCUCAAUUAGAAGAUGAUAAGCUAAUGAAGAAAAAAGAAAUGGUUCAGAGCGACACAGUAGGGAAUUUUAGUAUUGAUGAGUAUGAUUGUUUCAGAUACCGAGAUCAGAUUUGUAUUCCAAUCAAUUCAGAGAUUAAAGAAUUAAUUCUUCGAGAAACACACGAUGGUCCAUUUGCUCUACACCCUAGAGGCACAAAGAUGUAUCGUGAUUUACGAGAAUUGUACUGGUGGCCUGGGAUGAAAAAAGAUAUAGUUGAAUAUGUCAGUAAAUGCUUGGUUUGUCAGCGGGUGAGAGCAGAGCAUCAGGUUCCUACUGGAUUAUUACAGCCGAUUACUAUUCCAGAAUGGAAAUGGGAUCGUGUUACGAUGGAUUUCAUUACGGGAUUGCCAUUAUCUGCAAGUAAGAAAAAUGCUAUAUGGGUAAUAGUUGAUCGACUCACAAAUCGGUUCAUUUUAUAGCUGUCAGAAUGGAUUGGUCACUUCAGAAACUUGCAGAGGUCUAUAUUCGGGAAAUUAUAAGGUUGCAUGGUAUACCAGCUUCUAUAAUUUCUGAUCAAGAUCCUCGGUUUACAUUGAGAUUCUGGAAACAGUUACAUGAGUCUUUGGGUACUAAACUUGAUUUCAGUACAGCAUUUCAUCCACAGAUUGAUGGGCAAUCUGAGCGAGUAAUUCAAAUUUUGGAAGAUAUGCUUCGAGCUAAUUAUUCUAAAAAUUUCGAUAAUGCCUCGUAUCCUAUCCCGGAUCUCAGGUACGGGUAUGGGGUAUUACAACCUAGAAAUUUGGUCAUUUUAAUAAAAUAUUUCAAUUUACUAAAACAACAAUUUUGGUCUACGAAAUUUGAGAAAACGGGUUCGGGAGUCGGUUACGUACGAGGAAGGAUUAGCACCCUCGUAACGCCCAAAAUUGGUACCUAGUUGAUUAAUUAAUGUCUUAAUGUCGAAAUUUAAAAACUCAAAAAGAAUUAAAAAUACGAUCCUUUCUUUUUUGACUUUUUAUGAAGAAUUUGCUUGCGUAAAUUGAAACGAAUGUUAAAGACCUUCUUGUCCCGAAGUAAUAAAAUGUCACAUCCAGUAAGUUAGGACACAACAUUUUAAAACCUCGAUAAUAAGCUUGUCUUUUGAUUUUCAAAAUUCAUGCAUUUUAAUUUCAAAAGGUUAUUUGGUCAUUUGGGUCAAACGAAGAAAAUCGAAACCCAGCAUGUUAGGGCACGAUCUCUAGAAUUUCUAAAUACAGAACAUUGCCUUAAUUUUCAAAAUCUUUCGAAUAAAUACACAUGUAAUGUUUGAAACUAUGCAUAUUUAUUUUAUUUGGAUUAUAGUGUAAAGAAUGGACAUUUAAACACGGCUCGUGACAUAAUUGGAAUAAUAGUAGAAUGAUAACACGAAUAAGCGAUAUGACUAUAUAUAUAUAAUGAUGAAGCAACAAAUAAGCAAUGACAAUGAUCAAUUAAAUUUAAUAUUAAUUAAGUAAUAAUAGUAAUAAAAAUGAAAUAAAAUGGUGAUAAGAAAGUAGGUAAAAUGCAUAUACAUGAAGUUAAAUUUAAGUGUUUGAAAACAAAAGAAUGAAAAAUAAAUAAAUUAGUAUAAGUAAAUAUAAAAUUAGGUAAAAAAAUGAACAUAAAAUAUUAAUAACAAUAAUAGUAAAAAUAAUAAAAAUAAAUAAUAUAAAAUUUGAAAGUAUAAAAAGAUAUAAACAAAUAGAUAGUAAAAAUGAUAAUAAUAUGGGUAAAAAUAAAAAUAUAACCAAUCUAUAAAAAAUAAUAAUAAAUAAAUAAAUAAACAAACAAAUAAAUAAAUAUUGAAUAUUAACUAAAUCAGUUUAAUGGUAUAAUAAUAAUAAUAAUAAUAACAACGACAUGAGUAAAUACGAAAAGGAAAUAUAUAAUGUAAUAUAAAAUUAAUAUGAUGAUAAUAAUAGUGAUAAUACAAUGAUAAUAAUAAAAUGGAAGAUAAUAGUGAUGAUACAUUAAUAGGAAUAAUAAUAUUAAUAAUAACAAUAACAGAAAAAUAAUAAUAAAAUAAUAAUAACAAUAAAAUAAUGAAUAAUGACAACAAUAAUAUAAAUAAUAAUAGAAAAACAAUAAUAGAAAUAGCAACGAUAAUAAUAAAUAAUAAGAGUAAUAGUAAUAAUAAUAAUAAUAAAUAAUAAUAAUAUGUAAUAAUACUCUAAACAUAGAAGCAUAUAACAAUGUAUGUAUAGAGAAAUAAAUGAAUAAACAAUAAUAAUGCAAGUAAUAAAAGCAUAUUAUGAAGAUAACAAUACGUGAAGAAAUAAAAAUAAAAUAAAAUAAAAUGCUGAAUAUUAGAUUAAUUAAUUUUAGUAACAUAAUAAUAUUAAUAUGGAAGGACUAAAUUGAAAUCAAAAUGGGAUUUGAGGGCUUAAUUAGGAAAAGAAUAAAAUAGGGGAUCACAUUGAAAGGCGCGGAUAACAUGGAGGGAUCAUAUGGGGGAAUAUCCCCGCCCUCCAAAACGCUGCACUUCAUGCGGGAUUAAAUUGAAAACUAAAAUAAAUUAAUAGUCACAAAAUAAGAGAACUUAAUCACAAAUUGAUUAAAAAGCGGAAGGGCUGAAAGUGCAAUUAGCCCUUCCGCUACAAAACACGCAGGUCCUGGCUAGGCGGGUCGGGUCGACCCGUUUCACCCCAAAUCAACACCAUUUUGCAUCUGAGGGCUUAGAGCCAAAACGGUACCGUUUUGGUACCACUACUUAAAUUAAAAUUUCAGUUUUUUUUUUAUUUUCAACACUUUCAAAAAAAAAGAAAAGAAACCCCUCAACUCUCUCUCACUCUCCCUUCAUCAGAACACUGAUUCCGGAGAAAAAGCCACUGUGGUGGCGACGGACGAACCACCAGGUGAGACUUUUUGUAUUUUCUUUCUUUUAGCUAAUGAAAAUAAGGAAAAAUAACGGUAAAAAAGAAAGAACUACAGAUAAAAGCACUUUUGUUUUUUUAUUGCUUUCUGAGUUUGUAUUGAUAUUUUUUUUGUAUAUGAGUGUUCGUAUAGCAACUAAGAUCAAUUCACAUUUUAAUUUAUAACAUAAAACAUCCCAAUAUAAGGUAAACAUGUAUAUAAAACGUUUCGGGUACAUUUUCAGGUCUUAUACGAGCUUACGAAAGCUCUAUUGCUAACUCGAGGUCGAUUUAGGACCAAAUUGUAAGAAUUUCAUAACAUUGGGUUGACGUUGCGAAGUCGGGGGUUCCUCGUCGCGACGCAACAUACUGAGUAGGUCUCAUCAUGACCUCGAAUACAUGUCGUCACAACAUGAAUCCUAUGUUGCUCCUCGUCGUGACGUUAGGGAUAUGUCAUCGUGAUGUGAUAUUCUAUUUCUAUAAAAAUGAACAUGGUACAAGUUUGAGAGACCUGUAAUAAUACUUUACAUUUCAAUUAUAACCAAAACAAAAUUAUGCCAAAAUGGUACUUCAAAACAACAUCGAGCAUCCAAGUUUUAAAUUCAACCAUUUUCGAUACAAAAUCGACUUAAACCUUAGGUACAUGUCAUAUACUAAUCAAAAGAGAACUUUACAAACUUUAUUGAGUCAGGGAUCGCUUGCUAGAUGUUGGAACAACUGCUCAAACUAUCUAGAAUCUACUAUACCUAUGCACGGAGAAAACAAAUUGUACACUGAACAAUUACGCUCAAUGGUAAUUUCCAUAUUUCAAGUUACAAAUAAGCAUUAUCAAUACAAGAAUUCAAUUCAAAUAUACUACAAUUCAAAUGAAACAAUUUGCGUAUUCAAUAUAAGAAUUCUAUUCUCCUACAACAUUCCAUUUGAUAGUCAAACUAACAUUUAUAUCAUUCGUUCUUUUAACAAAGAUGUAACAUAUCUAAUUGAAUUACUUACAUAUACAAUUAUGUACCAGUAUGAUGUUUAAUCUCAUUUCCAUUCCUAUUUUAUACAACUUAAUCAAUUCAUAUUAUCAUUUAUAGUCACAUACGCUCCUUCAUUUACUAUGACCAAUAUGAUGCCCUUGUUACCAGAGCAGUAUUCUAUUAGUUUAAGACCACUUAUUUGGAAGCACAAUUUUAAAAUAAUAAUCUGUUGCAUUUAAAGAUUUAAUGAUGCAUGAGUUAACCUUUGGCGGCUGUUUAAUUUUAAUAUCAAUAAGUCACAAAUAACAUUAUGUCAUCAAAACUUUCGAUACACAUUCAAGUGUUUAAAAUAAUGUUCAAUACAGUUUAAAUGGUUUCAAAAUUGCGGUAUCUAAUAGUUGUCCUAGCACCCCUAGCAAAUACAUGUUAACCCUGAAAAUAAGAAGGCUCACAAAUGGUCGCAAAUUUGACUGUAUCCCUUCAAUCACCACGCUCAACCUAAGAACCUGAAGGGAAGAAGAAUUUGGGUAAGUUCAUGUGAACUUAAUGAGUUACUGGGAAGAACGAUCCCACCAUAAUUACUCUCAGUCAUUAGGAAAUGGGACAUGUAAUUACUUUGAUCAAUAGAUCAACUGGCGAAUACUACCACAAUUAAACUCAACAUAUUGGUGGAUAGAACUAGUUACUAACUCAUAUAUGACAGUCAUUGAUACAUCUACUCCACGAAUACGCCACUUAUAUGGGCUACCAUUUAUGAUUGGCAGACUUACUAUUUACGUUCUCAUGCAACGUGCACUACCGCAUGCAACCUUUCUUACGUACCCUUUUUUUGUGCUAGUUUCUGAUCCCAAUUCCCGAAGAACCAAUUUUUCUUAUAUCUUUAUAUCCACUCAUCAGAUUUAUUUAAAAAUAAAGCUCUCAUGAACUCAAAUCUAUAAAAAAUUAUAAGAAAAGGUUUUGGUUACCUUAACAAAUUUUUGGUCGAAGCUUAACUCUCCAAAAAAAAAAAGAGUUUUUAUUUGGUUUUUGCUUCAAUAGAUGGUGGGGAAGAUGAUAUUCAUUACCUUUCUCCACUUACAUGAUUUAUAUAGUGUGAUUAACACUAAUUAACCAAGUUUAAUUAAAUUAAACUUAAUUUAUACUUUAAUUAAUCUUAAUUUAGUAAUAAUUAAAUAUUUAAUGGUAACCAUCAUCAAAGUCCACUAAAUAAUGAUUAUUAUUGGUUUAUUAACCAUUUUAGCCCCUUGGAUAAUUACUAUCUAGGUCCCCAAGUUUUUUUCUUAAUAAAAAUCUAUAGCAAUUAAAUAUUUACAAAUUUAGUCCUUGAACCUUAAUUAACUAUUAAUUCGGCAAAAUUACUAGACCAAACUUUAAGAUAACAAUAUAUUAUACACGUAAAUAUUACGAACUUGGUUUAUGGAAACGAGAUCCUGAGAUUGCAAUUUUCGACACCAAUAAAUUUCAGGUCGUUACAAGUUAAUCCUAAAGAAACAAAAUUAGGGUUUUUCAAAAUUCUUCUCUCCCUAGUUGGCCACACCUUUGAAAUAAUUAAUAGAUUGCAGUUUAUAAUUGCUUUGAUAAUUAACAAUUAUAUUCACUUCUUAAUAUAGAAACAAGAAUUCAAAAUUUAUUCAUGCAUAAAGAAUUGCACUACUUGUAACAACAAGGAUUUCAUACAAUUUUCCACUACUUGCAUUGAACUUUUCCAACAUCAACUAAAUUGUUGUAUGAUCCUUAUGCAUGGCAUCAAGACAAGUAGUUAUAUCAUCUAGAAGAUUAUCUUUUACCUAUAUUUGUUUGAUUAGCUUUCGGUUCUCUUCCUUUAGACAAGAAUUCUACUCAACUAGCUUCACAUUAACAUCAUACACCUGCUCUCAUUUCUCCAGCAUUAUCUUGUAAGUCUGCAAAAACUCAGCACUUGAAUCUUGUCUAAAUCAUCAUUAGUAUUAGAGUCAGUUGCGACAGGGAUAUUGACUUUAGUAAAGAAAGCCACAUAAUUGCUCACGUGUUUUUCAUUUGAAUUUGAUCUGCUUCAAGAAUCCUCUUCACUCCAUGUUACACACAAAAACAACUCAUUUGUGGCCAAAACCAUGACAUUUAUAACAUUGAAUGCCCUACUUUUUCUCCUUGGUAGACUCCUCAUUGAUCACAACACAUUUUUGUCUAUUUUUGGAGAAGUUCUUAAUAGCCUUAAACUUGUUAUUCCUCAUGGGUUGCUUCUUUAAGGCUUUAAUAAAAUUAUAAGUUAGCAUUACUACCUACUUUCACAGUUAUUCGAUAAUAGUGGUACCUUCAGUUGAAAUAGCUUUUGUCACUUGUAAGGUAAUGUUCUUCUUUCCUUUAGAUAUGUUUCUUCUUGACUUGUAUAAAUUGAUCUUAAAAGCCCAUAAAGAUCUAAUAAUUUCUGUAACGCCCUAAUUUUCGGGAAUCCUGUGAAUGUUGGCAUAGGUUUAAUUAUGUUAGUGGGCCUCUAGAAAGCCCAAGCUUAAGAUAGAACCCGGUAAUUUUAGUUAAUUUUUGUUCCAUAAGAAAAAAGUGGUGAAAUUAUGAAAUAGAACCUAUGUGAAAAUGUUUGAAAAUGCUAUAGGCUAAAUUGAAGUGACCAAAUAAAUAGGAGUGCAAAAUAGGAGGAUUUGCAUGACAAACCUCCCAUUUUACACGAAGUGGCCAGCCAUCAUGUUGUUGUAGACAAAAUGUACACUUGAUAUCCAUAAUUUAUGGUACAAAUUGAUACAAAUUGAUAAUAGGUUAGGUAAAUGUUCCAUGAUAAUGGGUUAGGUAAAUGUUUCAUGAUUAGAAUUUCAUGUCUUUUGUAUUAAAGAAUUAAAUGGAUGAAAUACGAAGUUUUAUUAAAAGAAAAAGGAGUGAAAAAAACAAAUUUUUGUCCAUCUUUGUUCAUCAUAGCUGAAAGUUAGAGAAGAGAAAGGAGAGGAGAAAGCUCUUGAGUAUUCGGUCAUUAGGAGGAGGAAAAUUGAAGGUAAGUUCUUGGUACCUUGCUUCUUUUUUGAGGUUCAUGAGUUCUUCUUGAUUCUUCCUUAACUCUUGAAGCAUAUUUUGGUUUUUAGUUGUGUUGUGAGCAUUUAGUCAUGAAUUAAAAUUAAGGAAAUGGUUGUUGUUUCAUGUUCUUUUGAUGAAAAAUGGAAGAUAGGUGAAGUUGAGCCAAACAAAUGAGCAUGCAUGUGCCUUAGAUGCUAAGGGGAAAAAUCGGCUAACAUGUUGUGCUUUAAAAUGAUGAAAUGGAGAUUAUACUUAAGUAAAAUCAUAGAUAUGUGAUGAUUGAUUGGUGAUAUACAUGUUUAAAUAACAAGCAUGCAAGUUAGGUGUGAAAGAGUGAUUUGGUGAUAAAUCUGCUUGGGACAGCAGCAGUAACGUGACUUUGGAAAAUCACCAUAAAUUGUGGGAGAUGAGUUAGAAGCUGCAUAAAUUAUGUAAUUAAAGCUUAUUAAGUCUAGUUUAUAAUGAAAUAAACAAGAACAUAUUUUGAAUUCUGUACAAUGAGAAAUUUGAUUCGUAAUGAAGAGUGGUCAGAUUAGUCAAACAGUGAAACAUGGGAAACUUUAAGAAAAAUCUGGUAUUGAUUGGCCAUACCAAAAAUUCUGAAAAUUUUAUGGAUAAAAGAUAUAUGAGUCUAUUUUUAGGGAAAAUUAACGGCACUUGAUUUGGAGUUUCUUAGCUCCAGUUAUAAAUAAUUUAGUGACUGUUGCUCAGGAAGACAGCUUGCAGUGAAAUUAUGAUUAUGUGGUAAACAUUGACAAAAAUUUGUUAAUGAGUUGCUUAUUGAUUUCUUAUAAGCUUACUAUGAUUUGUAGGUGUGGUUGGCCGAAUAUUAUAAGGGGUUAAUACGUAGUUUGUAUUUGGAUAGUUAGAUUAACGUGUUAGUAAUCCAAUUGUAGGCGGUUCGUGUGUGGAUCUCGUCAGCAUAUCGUCGCAAACAGGUGUGUAACUGACACCCUCUCAUAGACUAGAUUGGCAAAAGCCGAAAAGCUGAAAUGCCGAAAAGUCAGUAUUUUGGGAAUUUGCGAGUGUGCGAAUGCUCGUAAGAUAGUUGGGUUUGUAUAUUUGGUAAUCUAAAGUAAUAAACUGCAGUACGCGCGAUUUCGUACAUUUUGAUAAUUUGGGCUUAAUGGGCCAAAGAUCGGGUUCAUGGGCCAACGGGCCCAAUUCGGUAAGUAUGCGCGGUAAGUGUUCUGAUAGUACGUAAAUAGUUAGGAUAUGCAUGAAAACCCUGAAAGUAGCUAAAUUACUAUAAUACCCCUAUGUAUGGAAAAUUACUGUUAUACCCCUAGGUGCAAAAUUACCGUUAUACCCGUAGGGUUAAUUUUGACUGAAAAGCAUAGCGAUCUAAUUCUGUAUGAUGGAUGCCAUGAUUAUAUAUUUGUUGCAUGGGGACAUGGGUUAUAUUAUGGAGGAAGCGUUCUGGUGGCUAUGCCACAAAUAUCUGAUCUGGUGGCUCUGCCACAUAUAUCUGUUCUGGUGGCCCUGCCACGAUUAUCUGUAUCUGGUGACUCUGUCACAUUAUCUGUUCUGGCAGCCAUGCUGCAAAUUCUGUGGUGUGUAGCGGUUGGGUGGGUCGAGUUGUCUCCCCACACGGUGUAAGGUUGGUACGGGGGUGUAUACGGUUGGAUAUGGUUGGGUUUCUGCAUAAACAUGUAAUAUCUGUUCUGUUCUGUUAUGGGCCUAUGGGCUUUAUUCUGAAUUCUGUUCUGGGCUAAGGCCAACUUAUUCUGUUUCUGUGGGUUGAGCUGAUUUAGACUAUGGUUGGGUUAUUUUACACACUGAGUUUCCCCAAACUCAUCCCUUUUAUUUUCAUCCACGCAGGUAAUCCCCAACCAUAGUGGGCUUGGAGCUGUGAGGGAAUUCGGAGUGGCCACCCGUUCUGAAAGUUUGAUUUUCUUCUGAUGAACUGGACAUCCUUUUAUUUACGUUUGAAGUUUUGGGUUUUUAAAUGUAAUAAGGUCGUUUAAUUAUUUUUGAUGGUUUUAAUAUGUAUUACUAAGAUAGGUAAUACUUAUUUUAACUGUUGAAAUUGGAUAGCUUUAGGGCGCGUUUUCAAAACCAACAGUUGAUUUCAAAAUAACACGACAACAAGCAAAGCUUUUGCAAUGAAAGUAUUUUCCAAAAUUAAUCACUUUUCCUAAAAAUGACUUAAUCAAAUCGGUUUCCUAGAAAUAUCCAUGACGUUAAGGUGUGGCAAUGGCGGUAUGCAUGUCUAGGAUUGGAUCCGAAGGGAGCUUGGUACUUAAGCAGUCCGAUGGACUCACCACCUCUUUUUCGGUUUCCUACCUGGUGCAUAGCUUCCAUUCACCUUAACCCUUAAUGAAUUAAUCUUUUGAACAUCAAGUACGAUUUUCUGGACUUAGAAUGGAAUUUUUUUUUUACGUUUUUGAUGUGGCAUGCCGGAUCCGGCCAUAACUUCUGGGCCGGGUUUGGGGUGCUACAAUUUCAUUGAUUCUCGUAUUAUCAAUGUCUUUUACUUAUCUAAUGGUAGUGACUUCAAUAGUAAAUCUCUCUGGCAAAAAUCUAAGCACCUUCCUCACAAGGUUAAAAUUGGAGUACUCUUUUCCAAAGGGAAAAACUUGAUCGAAUGUGUCAUACAAUUUUGCAUAUAAUACCCCAAUAUUUUUCUUUUCUUACAUCCUGAAAGUUUCAAACUUGGUGGUUAACAUUUGCAUCUUAGAUUCCUUUACAGUAUUUGUACCUUUAUGUGAAGUCUCAAAAAUACCUAAAGCCUACUUACCAGUAGUGCACUUGGAUAUCCUUUUGAAUUCCUAUCCACCCACACCACUAAAAAUCGGGUUCAAUUCUUUUGAAUUGGAAUUGGCUAGUUUCUCCUCCUUUAUAGUCCAAGUAAGCUCGAACUUUUUUGUUUCCACUUAGAUGUCUCAUUUGUAGGGAACUCCCAUUAAUUGUUCAUCCAUUGACUUGAUGAAUGCAUUCAUCCUAGCCUUCUAGUAGGCGUACUUAGAACCAUCAUCGGAGGAUGAGACACAAGUGUUUCUUCCAUUUCAAGAAAGUACUGACACCAGGAAUACAACUUGAUAAGUUAAGUGGGAGGCUCUUCUACCAAUUUAAAGAGGACAAGCUGAUAUUCGUUAAAACACUAGAGCAAUGAUAAGAGUAGUUACAACUACAAGUUGAACUGUGGAAAAAGAAAAGAAUAAACACAUAGCAAUUUUUACAUAAUCGAUUUCCCUACAUUGGCAAGGCCUUGCAAGGAAGGCAAUCCACUAUCUUUAACCUUGUACAAACAGUGGUUUAAGUCCUAUCAUACACUAGUAUAGCAAUCUUACUUUUUGUACCUAAGAUCUAGAUCACUCUACUCUAAGCUUUCUCCCUGAAAGCUUAGAUUGUAAAACCAAGUGACUCACUUUUUUUUUUUACUUAGAAAAUUCAUUCACAAUGAUAAAUUCCUAAAGAAUAGAUCAAGUGCUAAACUCUUUGUACAAAACUUGAAUAAGUCUCAUGAAUAUAUGCUUUUUCGACUUGCUAACAUACUAAAUCAAUUACAAUCUCAAUCCCCAUCAAAGUAGAAAUAAAAUCAGCAUUGAGAAUAUCCUAAUAAAGUCUAGAAUAAGUUAACGACCUCCAAGAUAAGUUUCCAAGUUAUCCAACCCAAUCUUUUCAAAUUGAAGAAUUCGAUUGCUUGAUCUAAUUUGAUCCAAUCUUAAAGAUAUGCUUUUUUAUAUGGAUCGAUCUUCAAAUAUGAGCCAACAUACAUCCAAAACAACAUCAUAGAUUACGACCGAAUUGUUUUAUUACAAAAGAUUGUAAAUACUAAAUAAGGCAAGUUACGUGACUUGCACAACGCUGCAUUGCUCACAAAAUUACCUCAACAAUAGUUGAUAACAUAAUUAAAGUCAAUAAAAAAGCCUAAUUGAAGGAAAUUAAAUUAUUUACUUUAAUAGCUAUAAAAUCUUAUUCAUUCAUUUAAUUACUUGAUGGCAUAUACAAUUAAAAGUUCUAUCAUAUAUAUAAAUUAGUUUUCCCUCAACCUAUUGGCUAUUAGGGUUGCACAUAUAUACAAACGCUAAAGAAAAUAAAUAGAAAAUAUUGGUUUGAUUCCCGUGCAAUGCAUGAGUCUACUGUAACUUAAUAAUUAAAAUACAUUAUUUUACUUCAUAUUGUUUUUUUUAGUUAAAAGAUUUACAAAUAAUGCAAAAUAAAGAAAUUUAAAAAUAAUAUAUUCAAAAAAUAAUAAGUGAAAAAUGAUAUAUUCAAAAAAUAUUAUGUCAAAUUAAAUAAUUGUAAGAAAUAAGUAUUUUAUUUUGAUAAAAAAUAAGAAUCCCUUUUUAUUAAAUAUUCAUAAAUUGAUUUUUAAAUAAAUUUUUUUAUAUUUAUAUAAUAAUUAGGAUUUGAGCUCAACAAUUUUAUUAAUAUUAUAAUAGAUGAGGUGUCAAGCAAUAAGAUCAUUCUCUUGCAGUAAUUAUAUAGUGCCACAUAGGAUUAUUUCCUAAUUUAGUUGUAUAGAUUAUGUAUAAUAUAUAAGGUUAUUAUUUGAUAUAUUAGCGGAGGGGUUUUUAACUCGGCAAGGAAAUUUAAGAAAGUGUCAAUUGUCUUUAAUUAAUAUUAAAAAAACUAAAUAAAUAAUACACUUGAUGGUUUUUUAAGCCUGCUUGUGGGGUUAAAAAAUUUCACCAGUAAUAUAUCAAAUAAUAAUUUUUGUAUAUUAUUUAUACAAUGAUAAAUGGUUGAGAUGUUGAUUUUUUUUUUUUUUACAUUAACUUGUUUCAUGCAAAUUUUUUAUUUAGCCUACAAGUCGAAUAUAAUGGCUUAAUUUUGUUUGACUACUAUAACAGGAUUAAAUUGGUUUGAAAAUUAAGGCAAACGAUUUUAUGUCACUUUUUGUAUAUACUGCUUGCAAGUUAGGGACAAAAUAUAUCCAUUUAUAUGAUUUUUAUUUUGCAAAUUAAUCUUGCAUAUCUUAACAUAUCAACUCCAGAUUUGGAUGUUGAAACAUGUAGGUAUGGGCUCUCAACACUUUGCGUUGAAUUGGCCGCUCACUUCUAAGAGGAUGGAGCUAGAUUUCUUCUCUACUAUUUGUUUUCUUAAACAAUCAUAUUGUCAUAGGCCUAUUUUGCCCGGGCCCAUACAGAAACCAAAACUAAUAAUAAAAUUAAAUUCAAGCCAGCAGUUCAAGUCCAGUUACAACCAAUUCAAACCCAAUCAAAGCUAAACCCAAACCCAAUACAAGCCCAAUAACAAACUCAGAUACCCAUUUACAACGGGGCCCAAUGGCCCAAAAUCUAAACUUAGGUUUAGCUAAGCUAGCAAACCCUAGCAGCAAGGAGCGCCGCAGCCCCCAGCCUUCAGCGUCGUACGGCCUCCUUGUGCCACAGCCACAACCACGCCUCCGCGUCAACGAGCCGUACGCCACAGCUGGCCUCGUACCCUGUACCUGCAAACUAAAACACGACAGCAGCACAAAAUAGCAAAAAGAAUAUAUUUUUCUUUUUGAUUUUGGCUAUAUAAAGCCAUACAAGGCUAUUGUAUUUUGGGGGCUUCGGUUUUUUUACACAUACAAAGCAAUCAAAUAGAAAAAGCAAAUACUUCAAGGUUUUUCAUUCACUAUUUUUUUUCUCUCUUAUUUUUCUCUUUUAUUUCUUACUUAUUUUUUUGAUCUGCUAUACUAAUAUAAAAAAAAAAAAGAAGAAAGCUCUCUUACCUGUUGAUUCGGUGUCGACCUAGUUGACAUUUGCUUCUCCGAUCCAAAGGCAGACGGAUCCAUGGGGAUCUGGUUAAAGCCUCGACGGAGAUGGAGGCAUAUUAGGCGCUGGCGAAGCCCAAUCGACUAAAAAGGGAGGGGAGGCUAUAAGGGUUUGGAAAAAAACUUUCAAGCUGUUUGGAAAGAAUGAUCUGCCAAAUGAAUUUUUUGGGCAAAUUUUAGUUUAUAUAUAUGAUCAAAACGGCGUCAUUUUAUGGCGUAACCCGAUGAUUCGACCCAGAUUCUCUUAGGAUCCGUGUGUCUCAUAGGGAGGGGAUAAUUGCGCGCGCGGUCCUUUCGCAUUUCUGUUAUGUUUUAAUACAAUUUUACUUUGUUUUUUUAAUUUUGCCCCUUAAUUUCAACUCUGUUCUGAUUUGGACCCUAAGGGAACGACGUUAUUCUGGGGCGAGGAAUAAUUUCCUAUUUAGUCCUCAUGGUUCUGCGCGCAUUUCACUCUAACCCCGCAUUCUUUUUGUUGUAAUUGAGCCCUUUUAAUUUGUAUAAUUCAUUUUUUUUUAAAUUCACUUAACAUUUAUUAUAUAUAUAUUUCUUGAGUUCUCUUGAUAAUUUUACUUUUUUUAUAAAAUCUUUAUUUUAAAGCUCUUUUAUAUCAUAUUGUUUUAAAAACUUUGUAUGAUAUUCCAUUUAAAUGUUCUUAUAUAUAAUGAUACAUAUAUAGUUCAUGAUAAAGUUAGUUUUAUGCUAUAUACAUUAUUAAUUCUAUGUUAUUGCUAUAUAUAAUUUCUUUUAAAUCUACUUAUAUAUAUUUUUUAAAAAUCUUAUGUAAAUAAAAUAUAUUUUAUUAUAUAUUUUUGUUAUUUAAAAAUCUUUCAUAUUUUACAUAUUAUUUAAAUUAUUUUUUAUUGUAUGUAUAUUGUCAACUUUAAAUAGAUGUAUCAUUUUUAAAAUAUUUUGUACAUUAUUUGACUCAAAUUUCUUCUUUUAUAAAAUCUAUUUUAAUAAUCAUUUAUAUAUUCUUAGUUUUAUAUAUAUAUAUAUGUAAAUUAUUUCAAAUUCUUACAUGUGUUAUUCAUUUGUAAAUUUUUUUCAUAUAGUUUUUGCAUUAUUUGGUAUUGGCUCCUAGUUUCCAUAUUGUUUCGUAGUGGUUUUGGUUUUCAUAUAGUCUUUUAUCUAUGCUUAGAAAGCUCGCUAUAGUUUUUAUGAUCAUUUGUUUCUUUAAUUAAUUAUAUUACUAGUUUUCAUUGUUUGAGUUGUAAAUGUUUGGAUGUGAGCUUAAUGUUACUUUGUAUAUGGUAAUUUGCUUUGCUUUAUUUAUUUUUACACUAUUUUCAUUCAUUAAUAGAGUCCGCUAUCCAUGUAUAUUGUCUCAUAUUCAUAAUUUCGCCUUUCGUUCGCAAUUGUCUCAUUGUAAUUUUCAACUUAUUAAUCAAAAAUUAAUUGUUCCAUUUUAUUUCAAGUCAAAGUAAUGAAUUUUGAAUCGACUUUAAAACUUCGUCCGCAUUUUCUAAAACUUUAAAACAAACUUGAUAUUUGAUGUUUGGAAAUUCGGGAAAUUGUGCCCUAACGUGCUAGGUUUCAAUUUUCCGUUUGUGUAAAUAAUCGAAUAUCCCUUUUAAUUUCGUCCAUAUUUCCUAAACCUCAACAAGGCAAUAUUUAACAUUUGGAAAUUCGAGAAAUCGUACCCUAACGUGUUGGGUUUCGUUUUUUCGUUGGACCAAAUAAUUGAAUAUCCUUUUGUAAUUUUCAAAUGUACAAGCUUUUGGAAGUCAAGAAUUGAUCGUGGUUACGAGGGUUUAAAGGAUCGCGUCCUAACGUGCUGGAUGUGAUACUAUAUUCCUUCGAAACAAGAGAAUUUUGACGUCCGAUUUGAGGCAUUCAAAUGUUUUAAAAGAACUCGUAUUUCAAAACAUUUUUUAGACAUAAGGACAUUAUAUAAUCAAUUUAGUACCAAUUUUGGGUGUAGCGGGGCUGCUAAUCCUUCCUCGUACGUAACCAACUCCUGAACCCGUUUUCUCGAAUUUCGUAGGCCAAAAUUGAUUUUUUUUAAUACAAUAAAAUGUUUUAUUAGGUGAUCCGAUCACACCUAAACAAAAAAAGAUUGGUGGCGACUCCACACCUCGUUUUAAAGUCAAUCCCAGUUUUCUUCAAAAAUCAAAAAAAUAGUUUCGACACAUAUUGUAUUUUAUUCUUUUUACUUAAAAAAUUAAUAAAUUAGUUCUUAUGCAUUAGAUUAAAGAGUAAUCUGGUUAUUCUAUUAAAAAUUGUACUCAUGUCUAUUGUUAAAAACCUGUCUAUAUACAUUAGAAUGAGAUACAUGUAGCACACCACGUGUAACUGUCUAGUUAUUUUAUCAGCCACAUCAAUUUUUAAUAGUAGAAAUUGAUAAAAAAAUUUAAUAAAAAUGAACAGUUUACUCUUUGAUCUAUUGUAUAAAAACUUAUAUAACUUAGUAUAAAUGCUCGUUAAUAGGGGUGUGCAUAAUUCGGGUAAAACCGAAAAAAUUCGGUUAACCGACCGAAUUCGGUUAAUCGGUCGGUUAACCGAAUUUUUUCGGUCGGGGGUCGGUUAAUUUUUUUAUGAUUUUUCGGUUAACGGUUAAUUCGGUUCGAAACCGGUCGGUUAACCGAAAAUUUUCGGUUAACCGAAAAAAUUAAUAAAUAAAAUUAUCCAACCCAACCCAAACUCAAUUACCCAACCCAAUAAAACUAAAACUAAAGUUUACCCAAUUACCCAAUCCAAUAAAACUAAAACUAAAAGACAACCCAAUUUACUAAAGUCUAAAACCCAAUAUACUUUAAUAAUUUAUAAAUUUUUUAAAUUUUAAAAAUAAAAAAUAAAAAAAUUCGGGUAUUUUUCGGUAAUUCGGUUAAUUCGGGUAAUUCGGGUAAUUCGGGUAAUUUUUAACCAAAAAUAAAAAAUACAUAAUUUUCGGUUAAUUCGGUUAACCGACCUUAUUAACCGAAAAAAUUUCGGUUCGGUUAAAUUUUUUUAAAAAAAAAUCGGUUCGGUUAACGGUUAAAAUUUUUGGAAGGUCGGUUAAUUCGGUUAUAGUAAUUUCGGGUCGGUUAACCGGUCGGUUAACCAAAUGAACACCCCUACUCGUUAAAUUAACUUUAUAUAAGUUUUUAUAAUUAAACUACAUAUUGUUUGAGUUGUGAACCCCAAUAUAGUAAGAUUGAUGUUAAUUAUGCAAAUAAAAAGGGUUUUCUUACAUCAUAUUAUAAGGAAUGAUGCCAUUUGAGAGGAUGGUGUUAAACACGAGCACCAUAGGCAACUUGCAAACUCUUUAAUUUGGAACAUUCAAGGCUUCAGAAUAUAGUUGAUAAGGCAUUUGUUGUUCUAAAAAAAUUAUUUCUCAUAUUAACAAAAUCACCUUAAUAUAGUAUAAAAAGACAAUGUUGGAUUAUACUAGCAUGUUGCAUAUCUCAUAACUUCAAUCAAAGGUGAAAUUGAAAUGAUUCAUACUUCGAAGAGUAUAUGGAAGAAGGAGAUAUUAAUAGUCUUAAUGGUGCAAAUUCAAAUUCAAAUGAUGAUGAACUCGAUUAAAGACCAACAGAUAAUGAUAAGGAGCAUAUGUUAAAUAUCAAAGAGGGACUAACCCAACAAAUAUGCACUAGAAUAAUUAGAUAAAAUAGUAUAUGAUAUUUUUUUUGGUUAUUUUGAUUAGUAGUUGUAUUAUCAACUACUUUUUUAAAUUAACAUAACACAUGCAUGAUUGGAUUUUAAUUUUUAUUACUUGUUUAGAAAUUAUAUUUAUCGCACUAAUAAUUUGUUAUAGUAAUUAAUAUUUUUUUUAAAUAUAAAUUAUGUAAUGUGUAAUUAUAAUUUGUAUUACCAAACAUGAUAUAAGGAAUUACGAUGUAAUUACACUCUAUCAAUCAAACAUGUCUAAGAAAAUACAAUUUUUUGUAAUUAAAAGAAAGUAUAAUUACUACCUAAUAAUUACAUUUUCAUUUAAUUAUACUGUAUUGUUCAAAUAGACCCCAGUGUAUUCCCUUUUUAUUUGCUAUUUCUUUAAUGACACAUUCAAUAGGUGAAUCUAUAUAUAUUUAUAUUCUUUAAUAUAGGGGCUCAUAGGUUGGGCUGAGUCAACUUCAAGAUGGGCCUACAAAAGGUAUCUAGAUUAAAUUUUCAAGUUCGAACUCAACUCGACCCGAAAAUGAGCUUACUGUUUUGCUCAAGUUUAGUCCAACUUAAGAAAGGUAAAUUCGAACUUGACCCGACCCAUCCAUAUUUAAUUUUUUAGAUUAUUUUUAUUUAAAAUUAUUUUUAAAAAAAAUAUAAUAUAUUAAAUGCACUAAAAACGCUAAAAUAAAAAUUUUCUAAUACAUUAAAGAGUAUUUAUAUUAAAAAGGUCUACCAUAAAUAUAAUAAAUAAUUUAUUAUAUUAAAAACGUAAAUAAAUAUAUUAAAUAAGUUAUUGUAUUAAAUAUAAUUUUUAAAAUUUUAUAUUUUGAGCUAGGUUAUUUAGUUGGGUAACUUUUUUUUAGGUUUUGCAUAAUAAGUUUAAUUGUUAUUGAAUUAGUGAUUUAAUAUAAAUAUAAAUAUAUAAUUAUUUUUUAUAACAUAAUAUAUUUGGGUCAAAUUGAGCUCGUGCAAAAAAAAUUACCCGAGGCCUGGCCUAUAUAAAAAACGGACAUUAAAUUUUAACCAAUAUCAUUUUUUGGGUCUCAUAUUUUUAUCCAACCUUCUCAAUUUUUGAGUCUAACAUUUAGAUUAUUUAGAAGAUAAUGAAUUAUAAGUGUUUUUUUUUGGGGGGGGGGGGUGAUAUUCAAGUGUUUGAAGGAAGAAGAGUCCCAAACAAACACUUGUUUGCGACUUCUAAUUGAAAUUGUAUAAUCAAUUAUAGUUUUAAGAAGAGCUAGUUUCUUACCUAUUAAUUUUAUAUAUUAAAUAUAAAUAAAAUAUAAAUCAAUACUAUAGCAUGGAGCUUGGUGGUUGAGGGUAAAAGUAUAAAGAAUAUUAGAUAUAAUUAAUAAUUUAUCAUUUAAAAUUAUACAACUUUCUUUUUGUUUUCCUUUAUUUUCUUAUGAGUAGUUAAGAAAAUUUUAUGUUGGCCAUACCUUCAUUUUCUUAUCAGUACGUAGUUAAGACGAUGAAUUUUUUUUUUUAUCAUUUAGCAUUUUUCUUUAAAUUUUAAAAUGUGUUUUAAAAUAUUUUCUUUUCGAAAUUCUAUUUUUUUUAAAUUUAGAAUUCUGUGUUUUUUUAUUUAUUUUAGAACAUAUUUUUAUAAUUUUUUUAAAAAAAUUAUGUCGGAAAAUAUAAAAAAAUAAUGUUACGUAAACAAGGUAAGACUGAUGAUUAAUUUACUUCAAAUAAAAGAAGAAGGGUCAAUAUGAAUAAAAAUGUAAAAGUUAAUGGAUAAAACAUCAAAAUAUUAUUCUUUUACAUGCAAAGUAAUUUACCCAUUUUUGGAUAAAAAGACUACAAUAUAAUGAAAGAUAUAGUGAAUAGAAUGCACGAUAAUUGUAGACUGCAAUGAUAGUAAAUAAACAUCCUUUCUUUGGACAUAUGAGCAUGGAAUAUUGUGUACCCGUAUUUAAGGAAUAUCCUAAUCCCACGAGCCAUGUUCUGGUGCCCAGACAGGCUGCCAGAUGCUUCUUCCAAAAACCAUUCAAAUCAAACAUCGACUACCAAACUGUCAGGCAAGCCCGACAUGUAUUGAAAUUCAACCUCAUUUCAUAUUGAUCGUCUCAUUCCUAAACAUUAGCUAUUCUCUGGGUUUGGUUUGGUCUAUUUCUAGUCUAGGUUUUCAUUUCAGCUUUAAAUUAAUUAUCCCAAAAUGACUCCUAGAAUCUAGGUGCAAAAAUAAGUGGUCGACUCAUAUGAAAUGAAAACGCUGUCGCUCGCAUACUAGCGCUACUAAAUGACCAAUUAUUGCUUUGGACGAAUGCAGCAUGUGAUUUGCCCUGCCAACACAAUAUUCUUCCAUUUCCAGUGGUGGCCAACCGGAUUGAUUAGCUUAAGUGUCAAUUGGUCCACUUCUGAUUUCCUACCCAUUUAAUAUUUGUUGCGAAUGUUAAAAGAGUAAGGGAUGAGGAUAGCCAUUAACCACCAUCCGCUCUUUAAAUAAUACCUAAAAUAGGCAACCACCCUGCCUGCUUCAUCUAUCAAAAUUUCACAAAGUAAAUAAAAAACAAACCCAAAUUAAGGAAUUCUUUUUUCUUUAAAACUCGUUUCAUAAUCCCAUUAUUGCUAUGUUGCUGUAUCAAAGAGGAUUGUCUUGUUCAAGACUCUAGAGUGUAGCCAGCUCAUUACAGCAAACUCCCACUCCCUACAUCUUAUCCCUUAAAAUCCCCCCACUGGCUCUCUCCUUCACAUAUUCCUUUCCAACACAAACCUAAAGACAUGGCUUCAUCAUCUCCUCUUUCUCCCAUUCUCCUCUCUCUGUUUCUAGUAUUCAUUUGUGGGGUGUCAGCUCAAACGGCUCCCGCCCCUGCCCCCUCUGGCCCCUUGAAUUUCACUGGAAUCCUUGACAAAAAUGGCCAAUACACCUACUUCCUUCAGCUUUUGGCACAGACUCAAGUUGGGAGCCAAGUACAAACUCAACUCAAAACCACCACUGAAGGCUUUACCGUCUUUGCUCCCACAGAUAAUGCCUUCAACAACCUCAAACCUGGUACCGUCAAUAACCUGGACCCACAACAGAAAGUACAACUAGUUCUAUACCACGUUAUUCCCAAAUACUACUCCUUGAACGAUCUCCAAUUUGUUAGCAACCCCGUUAGAACCCAAGCUGGUGAGGAUUUCGGCCUCAACGUAACUGGCCUGAACAACCAGGUUAACGUCUCAAGCGGGGUUGUCGAGACUCAGAUUAACAACGCAUUAUAUCAAAAGAAACCU
rnacentral:lncRNA from 1 species